rnacentral:lncRNA from 1 species
CGCUGAGCUGGCUGCUUCCCUCCCCCUUGCUGGUCACAGUCUGCCCAUGGCGGUGGUUAGCGGCUGGCCGCAGGCUGCAGGGGGAGGCACACAGGGCCUGAGCAAUCUGCUGGUCACUCGUCCCGAGGCCAUUUUCCUGGCAAGGCCUCUCCAGUCCACAGCCUGUCAUGCAGCCAGUCUUACAUCUCAAAGUCUGAGGAAGGGACGGGCGCGGGACCUGCACUGGCUGCCAGGAGGAGGACAAGCAGUGACCAGUGAGCCCUCAGCUGCCCCAGGCCCUGUGGGCAGCUCUCCCAGGGGUGUGUGUGGCCCCUGGGAGUCCAGAGGCCGGGGUGGCCUUCUGCUAUGCCUGGGGACGAGGCCGGGAGGCCCCUGAGAGCCUCCCAUUAAUCUUCCAGUUGCAGAAUUCUCUUCACUGCUGCACUGCCCUGGGGACACCCGUGCGACCUGGAUAACAGAACCGAGAUUGCUCGUGAGCUCAUCCCGACUGACCGCCGCAGUGGUCCUCGGUGGAUGAAGAGAGUUGCAGCUCAGGAAACUGAAGACACUGAGCUCUGGGGGCUCAUCAGAGCAAAUGGGCGCCGGGUUCAGUGUGUCAGAGGACACGGGAGUCCAAGGGAGAGGGACUGCCCCCCAGGCUCAGUGACUUGGUUGUGUCGGGACUUUUCCAAGGAAAGUUGCUCUUUGCCCCUAAAUGUCCCGUGAUUCUGCGGGGCUGAUGAUUUCUCAGUGGGCAUCGGGCUCCACUGGGAGGGUGCCCUGGCAGAGCCUCCCCAGUCCCUUCAACCAACUGGUUGGCCUCUGGUCAUGGGGCUUGGGGCCUCUGUGCUGGGUGAUCCCUUGCGGGGUCCUCCAAGCAUCAUGCGCAUGGUGGCGGGACCAGCGUGGAGAGGGCUGGCCUCAUGCUCUCAGCAGGGGUACCUGGGCAUUCCUGUUCCCCUGCUGGGUGCACCCCAGAAACAGCAGGGGCUUGCUGAGCCUGCUGCUUGGCUUUGAGAGCUCAGCCGGGUCCGUUGCCAGUGGAAUUGUGUCCUCCAAAAGGAAACACUGAAGUCUCAGCCCUGGCACCUGGGACUGUGACCUUAUUUGGAAAUAGGAUCUUUGCAGCGUCUACAAAGCUGUAAGUUAAGAUGAGGUUGCCCCAGGGUGGAUGGGCCCUCGGUCCACUGUGGCGGGGUCCUCCUGAAGGGGGACACACCGAGAAGCACAGUGCGCAGACCGCAGCUCCGCCACAGAAAGAGGCAGGGCCUGGGCUGAGGGAGGAGGGAGGCUGCCGCCCAGGGAGCUCAGCCAUGCUGUGCAGGCCCGUGGACCCCCACCCACCCCUCGGCUUCGCCUGCUCACCUGCAAAAGGGUCACCAAAUAUUCCUCUGCUG